UACAGCCAUAUCACAUUGAAACACUGGUUCUCAUAUAAUCACCAAAGUUAAGCAACGUUGAACCUGGUCAGUACCUAGAUAGGUAACUCCUUGGGAAUACCAGAUGCUGUAA